rnacentral:rRNA from 1 species
AUUGAACGCUGGCGGAAUGCUUUACACAUGCAAGUCGAGCGGCAGCGCGGGGGCAACCCUGGCGGCGAGCGGCGAACGGGUGAGUAACAUAUCGGAACGUACCCAGUCGUGGGGGAUAACUAUCCGAAAGGAUAGCUAAUACCGCAUACGUCCUGAGGGAGAAAGCGGGGGAUCGCAAGACCUCGCGCGAUUGGAGCGGCCGAUAUCGGAUUAGCUAGUUGGUGGGGUAAAGGCUCACCAAGGCGACGAUCCGUAGCGGGUCUGAGAGGACGACCCGCCACACUGGAACUGAGACACGGUCCAGACUCCUACGGGAGGCAGCAGUGGGGAAUUUUGGACAAUGGGCGAAAGCCUGAUGCAGCAAUGCCGCGUGUGUGAAGAAGGCCUGCGGGUUGUAAAGCACUUUCAGUAGGGAGGAAACAGUAGCCGGUUAAUAUCCGGUUGCCUUGACGUUACCUACAGAAGAAGCACCGGCUAACUCUGUGCCAGCAGCCGCGGU